rnacentral:rRNA from 1 species
GAUGAACGCUGGCGGCGUGCCUAAUACAUGCAAGUCGAGCGAACAGACGAGGAGCUUGCUCCUCUGACGUUAUCGGCGGACGGGUGAUUAACACGUGGAUAACCUACCUAUAAGACUGGGAUAACUUCGGGAAACCGGAGCUAAUACCGGAUAAUAUAUUGAACCGCAUUGUUCAAUAGUUAAAGACGGUUUUUCUUACGCUUAUAGCUUAAUCAGCCCCUCAUUAGCUAGUUGGUAAGGUAACGGCUUAGCAAGGCAACGAUGGGUAGCCGACCUCAGAGGGUGAACGGCCACACGGGAACUGAGACACGGCACAGACUCCGACGGGAGGCAGCAGUAGGGAAUCUUCCGCAAUGGGCGAAAGCCUGACGGAGCAACGCCGCGUGAGUGAUGAAGGUCUUCGGAUCGUAAAACUCUGUUAUCAGGGAAGAACAAAUGUGCAAGUAACUAUGCACGUAUUGACGGUACCUAAUCAGAAAGCCCCGGCUAACUACGUG